UUCACGCUGUGUUUACCUGUACACGAACUGCACUCUGCAGUUACGUCCGGUCUGUUUUUGGUGCAGGGUGGUACAAACUCAGCUCGCGCAGGUUUAUUAAAAAUUUAAUUUGACGAAUCUAAUUUAAUUAUAUUAAAAUUGAAAAUAUGUUAUUUGAACCGGGCGUCUUGAGUUAAUAAGUCUGUCUGUGAUGCGUUUGCUAAUCCGGUGCCGAAGUGAUGCGUAUUUAUAAUCAAUUAGCACUCUAUUUUGGAUCAGUUCUCGGGAGCGCCGUCUUAAGAACAACAGAACAGUUUUUAAAGAUGGGCUGUUAAAUUGAUAUUCGGAUUCUAGUCUACUUUGCGGUGGAUGUGGAAGCGACCUAUUAAUCUGCACGGGGCUAUCGUGUUCAUGACGAUAAGCGUCUUUUGGUUUCCUCAGAACGCACUAGGAUUUUCGGACUUGUUUCAAAAUGUAAGUGAUAGAAUUUACUGUUUUCCUAAUUUUUUACGCAGAUUAUGGUGCCGGACAAAAUGAUUUCUUGCCCUGUAUUGGAGAGAGUUUUGUUGAAAAUAUAACAAGCCUAACAAGAAAGCAUCUUUAGGUUUCUUUACAACGUGUUCUCAGGACACUGCCUAAUUUUUCCCAAAAUGUUUAACGCGGCGCCGUCGGUUGAUGAAAAGCAGCACCGAGGAUGAAACUACCGAAUGCUGCCUUUGAAUUUGAAUGCGAAAAAAGAAAGACCAAGCACUUCUUGACCUGACCUGUUUGAGAAGUGAAACCAGCUCCCAAAUCCAACCAAUUGUGCAGGAUAAGACUCAACAAGACUCAACAAGAACUGAUGAAUUGUUACCUGCGCUUUUAAGAAUAUUUGUUUAUAUAAUAUGAAAACAACUUGAUUGAAAAUUUAAUGCUGCUGGAAAAUAGCGCCAAAUUUAGUUUUACGACGCACUUUAUUUCAAAAUGCAGCCCAAGAUUUAAUCCCAAAUUGUUGUUGCAAUAUAUGUUAGAUUGUAUUGUUUUUACUAUAGACAUAUUCAAUUCCACGCCGGGAAUAAAAUUGUAUUGUUCUAUAUUUUAUAUUUUCGUUAUUCUUUAAUUUGACUGAGAUAAGUAACGUAAAACUUUAGUUAUAAAUUUAAUUUAGACUACUCCUAAGAUGAGCAAAAUUCGGCUGAUUUUGAUUCUGUGCACAAAAUGCUACAAUAAUUUUAAAUUGUUUGAAAUAUUGCUUUGAAAACAGUGGAAUACAAGUGAUAACAUAACAAAAAGAUACGGAACGCAGAGGUAUGCGAAAGAGGCCUAAAACAGGACAAUAAUUGUUUAUCAAGUGUAAAUUGUUAGUUUUCAUUUACUCUUUGCUUUGUUAAGUACAGCGUUAAAGCACAGCACUGUAAAUAGUCGAUUCAAAAUAAAAUUUUACAUUUCAUCAACAAGUAUAUUAGGUAGCCAUUUACUGCUAUGGAUGUGUUGUCAUGUGUUGCAAAUUGCGUUUAACAUUAACUGCACUAUGGCGGUACAGAAUCGGCACUUAUAUUUGCUUAUUACAAGUCGAAACAUGUAAAUUUUUAACUUAUAAAUGUAUUUUCACUGAGAGCGUUUUUUUGUCUAUUUGCACUGGUUUAAUUGAAGGAUCUGCAAUUGUUUCGCCGGUGAGGACAUCGUCAGGACUAUCAACACGGCACUUCAAAGACAUUGCUUAAAUAAUAUUUCUAGACUUAAGUCGGCGGAGACGCGUACUUGGAUGGAAUAAUAUUUAUUUUGUGAUACCUAUUUAAACUUUGCGACUCUACCACAGGUAGGAUUUUUAAUUUAUUUUUAAAAUGUAUGACAAAUAAGCAA